rnacentral:rRNA from 1 species
UACGUAGGGUGCGAGCGUUGUCCGGAAUUAUUGGGCGUAAAGAGCUCAUAGGCGGUCUGUCACGUCGGCUGUGAAAUCCCGAGGCUCAACCUCGGGUCUGCAGUCGAUACGGGCAAACUAGAGUAUUGCAGGGGAGAGUGGAAUUCCUGGUGUAGCGGUGAAAUGCGCAGAUAUCAGGAGGAGCACCGGUGGCGAAGGCGGGUCUCUGGGCCGACACUGACGCUGAGGAGCGAAAGCGUGGGGAGCGAACAGG